AAAUAGCUACAAUCAACAAGCUGAGAGUGGCAGUGUAUACUUGUGAUCUCAGUGCUUGGGAUGCUAGGAGUCCCAAGAGCUUAAGGAAGAUUCAGAGCUUAAGGUUAGCCUGGGCUUGUAGUGAAACUAUAUGUGAUAUAUAUAUAUAUACACACACACAUAUACAUACAUAUAUUCAUACACAUACAUAUAUAUACAUGCAAAUAUAUGCACAUAUAUAAGUAACACAGGAAAAAUAUAUACUCUACAUCAAAAUUCAAAACUUUUGUUUAAAUAAACACCAUCAAAAAAGUAUUAAAAAAACUUUUACUCUAGCUGCAAAUUAUUUAUUAUCCAACUUAUAGUAUUCAGAAUAUAUUAAGAAUCAUUCCAACUCAUCAGUACAAGACAGAUCAUUUCUUUUUUCUUUUCUUUAAGAUUUAUUUAGGGCUGGAGAGAUGGCUCAGGGGUUAAGAGCACUGACUGCUCUUCUAGAGAUCCUCAGUUCAAUUCCCAGCAACCACAUGGUGGCUCACAACCAUCUGUAACAAGAUCUGAAGCCUUCUUCUGGUGUGUCUGAGAACAGCUACAGUGUAUUCACAUAUGUAAAAUAAAUAAUCUAUUUAUUUCUCAUUUUUAAAAAGAUUUAUUUAUUUAUUUUAUGUAUAUGAGUACACUGUAGCUGAACAGAUGGUUGUGAGCCUUCAUGUGGUUGUUGGGAAUUGAAUUUAGGACCUCUGCUCACUCCAGUCAGCCUCAAUCACUCAUUUCCUGUUCGCUUUGGCCAAAGAAUUAUUUAUUAUUAUAAAAAGGUACACUGUAACUGUCUUCAGACACACCAGAAGAUGGUGUCAGAUCUCAUUACAGGUGGUUGUGAGCCACCAUGUGGUUGCUGAGAUUUGAACUCAGGGCCUUUGGAAGAGUAGUCAGUGCUCUUACCCACUGAGCCAUCACAUCGACCCUAUUUCUCAUUUCUUCUUUCUUUUCUUUUCUUUUUUUCCAUUUUGUUUUGUUUUGUUUUUCGAGACAGAGUUUCUCUGUGUAGCCCUGGCUGUCCUGGAACUCACUCUGUAGACCAGGCUGGCCUCAAACUCAGAAAUCCGCCUGCCUCUGCCUACAAGUGCUGGGAUUAAAGGCAUGCGCCACCACUGCCCCACUUAUUUCUCAUUUCCUAGAGUAAAAGAUUUGACGUCUUAGUUACUGCUGUGAAGGCACCAUAACCAAGUCAAUUUAUAAAAGGAAGCAUUUGAUUGGGGGCUUGCUUACAGUGUCGGAGGAUUACGCCACGAUCAUCAUGGCGGAGAGCAGAACAGCAGGCAGGCAGGCAGGCACUGGAGCAGUAGCUGAGAACUCACAUUUUCCCACACUCAAGAGGCAGAAAACAAACAAGACUGGGCCAGGUGUGGCCUUUUGAAACUUCAAAGCCCACUUCCAGAGGCACACCUCCUCCAAUAAGGCCAUACCUUCUAAUGCUGCCUAAACAGUCCACCAACUGGGAACCAAAUAUUCAAAUAUAUGAACCUAUGGGGACCAUUCUUAUUCAAACCAGUCCAGUAUCUC
rnacentral:lncRNA from 1 species